rfam:Mus musculus chromosome 16, GRC primary reference assembly.
AGCCCCUGGCAAUGGGCAAAGAGGCACCUUAUUGGUGCCACCACUUUUAUAUUAGUCAAGGGCAGAGCAAGUGACAGUCCUUUGCUCAUCCUAACUUGAUGCCUGGCUUGGUGGCUAAAGCUGUGUUAGGCCCAAGACACAUAA